AACUACCUCAAUCGAAGCCACUCAAUUGUUAUUUCAAUUGUGUGGUCAAAAAUGAGGUAAAAUAAACUUCUCCAGACGGUCGCAUAUCUUAAAAUAUUUGAUUUGCAUACAAAAGAGAGAAACAUUA
rfam:Biomphalaria glabrata isolate BB02 linkage group LG11 unlocalized genomic scaffold LG11_random_Scaffold634, whole genome shotgun sequence.